rnacentral:rRNA from 1 species
AUGGACGAAAAGGGUUCUGGGGUGAUUGGGUCCAGCCACAAUACCCAAGGAGAUCGCAGUAUUUGGAAUAAUAUCUGGAAGACAAAUGUACCCCAAAAAGUACGUAUUUUUACAUGGAGACUAGCAUCGGAGUCACUGGCGGUUCAAACUAAUAGAUUUCGUCGCAUCCCAGGCCUCACCCCGAUUUGUAAUGUAUGUGGGGCCGAGGAUGAAACAGGCUUCCAUAUGGCACAUCGAUGCACAUUUGCAAGGGCCUUGUGGCACGAACUCAAGGAGGCAUGGAACCUGCCCCCUGAGCAGGAAGUAGAAUAUACUGGAAGGGAUUGGGUCCUAAUCUUGCUAGAUAAGGUGAGUGAAGAUAUGAAACAAAAAUUUAUGCUAUUUUGGUGGCGUGUUUGGCACCAUAGAAAUGACGCGAUCUUCGCAAAAGGUAAAGCGAAAAUUUCCCACUCUGCUCGUUUUCUGCAAAACUACCUUGCAAACAUCCGCUUGAUUGCGGAGGGAACUUCUGAGAUAGAUCGAAAAGGGAAAAGUCCGAUGGUUAACUUGCCAUCAGUGCAACAACAUGAUCAUACAAAGGAAAAAGGAUGGACAAUGCCAGAGCUCGGAUGGGCUAAGGUCAAUGUUGAUGGAAGUUUUUUGGAGGAAAAUAGGAGCGGAGCCUGGGGAGCUGUGAUUCGAGAUCAUGAUGGAAGAAUUAUCUUAUCAGCUUGGGAUUAUAUACCGCGGUGCAAUGGAGCGGACUGCGCGGAAGCCAUGGCUUGCCUAGAAGGACUAAGGAUGGCAAUGUCGGCGACGAAUCUACCCUUAAUCAUCGAGACAGAUUGCAGCUCGGUGACAAAGGCGCUUAUCCUCUCGUCUAUUGAUAGAUCGGAGGUUGCAACAAUUGUAAAGGAGUUUCAAGCCAUGAAAGGGAACAGAGAAGUAAAAGUUUGCAAAGUAGAUAGAAGGGACAAUAGGUUAGCUCAUAGUCUUGCCCAGUUGGGGCGUAGAGAGUUGCGUGGUGGGGUUAUGCAAGGCUCUGUGCCAACCUGCGUGUUGAGUGAGGCCUUGCACGAUUGUACGAACUAUGUUUCUCUACUUUAA